GACGAACGCUGGCGGCGUGCUUAAUACAUGCAAGUCGAGCGGAGCGGCGAACGGGUGAGUAACGCGUGAGUAACUGCCCCCCUCUCUGGGAUCACAGUUGGAAACGGCUGCUAAUACCGGAUAGUGGGGGAUGACUCGCGUCCUAUCAGCGUGUUGGUGGGGUAGUGGCAUACCAAGGCGACGGCGGGUAGCCGGCCUGGGAGGGCGACCAGCCACAUUGGGCUGAGAUACGGCCCAAACUCGUACGGGAGGCAGCAGUGUGGAGUAUUGCACAAUGGGGGAAACCCUGAUACAGCGACGCCGCGUGCGGGAUGACGGCCUUCGGGUUGUAAACCACUUUCAGCGAUGACGCGGUAGUGGCAGAAGAAGCACCGGCUAACUACGUGCCAGCAGCCGCGGUAAUAC
rnacentral:rRNA from 1 species